rnacentral:rRNA from 1 species
GACAGAGGAGCCAAGCGUUGUCCGGACUGACUGGGCGUAAAGCGCCCGCAGGCGGCCGUGCACGUGGGGUGUGAAAGCUCGCGGCUUAACUGGGCGGGGUCAGCGGAUACGGCGUGGCUGGAGCAAGCUAGGGGGCAAUGGAAUUCCCGGUGUAGUGGUGGAAUGCGUAGAUAUCGGGAGGAACACCAGUGGCGAAGGCGGUUGCCUGGAGCUUUGCUGACGCUGAUGCGCGAAAGCGUGGGGAGCGAUCCGG